rnacentral:rRNA from 1 species
GAGACUGGAACUCCUGGUGUAGCGGUGAUAUGCGCAGAUAUCAGGAAGAACACCGAUGGCGAAGGCAGGUCUCUGGGCCAUUACUGACACUGAGAAGCGAAAGCAUGGGGAGCGAACAGGAUUAGAUACCCUGGUAGUCCAUGCCGUAAACGUUGGGCACUAGGUGUGGGGAACAUUCCACGUUUUCCGCGCCGUAGCUAACGCAUUAAGUGCCCCGCCUGGGGAGUACGGCCGCAAGGCUAAAACUCAAAGGAAUUGACGGGGGCCCGCACAAGCGGCGGAGCAUGCGGAUUAAUUCGAUGCAACGCGAAGAACCUUACCAAGGCUUGACAUGCACCGGACGACUCCAGAGAUGGGGUUUUCUUCGGACUGGUGCACAGGUGGUGCAUGGUUGUCGUCAGCUCGUGUCGUGAGAUGUUGGGUUAAGUCCCGCAACGAGCGCAACCCUCGUUCCAUGUUGCCAGCGCGUUAUGGCGGGGACUCAUGGGAGACUGCCGGGGUCAACUCGGAGGAAGGUGGGGACGACGUCAAAUCAUCAUGCCCCUUAUGUCUUGGGCUUCACGCAUGCUACAAUGGCCGGUACAAUGGGUUGCGAAACUGUGAGGUGGAGCGAAUCCCAAAAAGCCGGUCUCAGUUCGGAUUGGGGUCUGCAACUCGACCCCAUGAAGUCGGAGUCGCUAGUAAUCGCAGAUCAGCAACGCUGCGGUGAAUACGUUCCCGGGCCUUGUACACACCGCCCGUCAAGUCACGAAAGUCGGUAACACCCGAAGCCAGUGGCCUAUCCUCGUGAGGGAGCUGUCGAAGGUGGGAUUGGCGAUUGGGACUAAGUCGUACA